rnacentral:rRNA from 1 species
AGUGAACGCUGGCGGUAGGCCUAACACAUGCAAGUCGAACGGCAGCACAGUAAGAGCUUGCUCUUACGGGUGGCGAGUGGCGGACGGGUGAGGAAUACAUCGGAAUCUACUUUUUCGUGGGGGAUAACGUAGGGAAACUUACGCUAAUACCGCAUACGACCUACGGGUGAAAGCAGGGGAUCUUCGGACCUUGCGCGAUUGAAUGAGCCGAUGUCGGAUUAGCUAGUUGGCGGGGUAAAGGCCCACCAAGGCGACGAUCCGUAGCUGGUCUGAGAGGAUGAUCAGCCACACUGGAACUGAGACACGGUCCAGACUCCUACGGGAGGCAGCAGUGGGGAAUAUUGGACAAAGGGCGCAAGCCUGAUCCAGCCAUACCGCGUGGGUGAAGAGGGCCUUCGGGUUGUAAAGCCCUUUUGUUGGGAAAGAAAAGCAGCAGGUUAAUACCCCGCUGUUCUGACGGUACCCAAAGAAUAAGCACCGGCUAACUUCGUG